rnacentral:rRNA from 1 species
AUGGGACACUUUGGCGUCAAGAAGACGGAGGAUAUACUGGCUACACAUUUCUUUUGGCCAAAGAUGAGACGGGAUGUUGAGCGUUUUGUUGCUCGCUGUACUACAUGUCAAAAAGUUAAGUCACGACUCAGUCCUCAUGGUUUAUAUAUGCCUUUGCCUGUACCUAGUGUUCCUUGGGAGGAUAUAUCUAUGGACUUUGUUUUAGGUUUACCUCGAACAAAGAAGGGGAGGGAUAGCAUAUUUGUUGUCGUGGAUAGGUUCUCGAAAAUGGCACACUUUAUACCAUGUCAUAAAAGCGAUGAUGAUGUUAAUGUUGCUGAUUUGUUCUUUCAUGAAAUUAUUCGCUUGCAUGGUGUGCCAAAUACUAUUGUUUCAGAUCGUGAUACUAAAUUUCCUAGCCACUUUUGGAGAUGUUUAUGGGCUAAGUUGGGGACUAAACUGCUUUUUAGUACUACUUGUAAACUGAUGGACAAACUGAAGUAG